rnacentral:rRNA from 1 species
UACGGGGGGAGCAAGCGUUGUUCGGAUUUACUGGGCGUAAAGGGCGCGUAGGCGGCGCAACAAGUCACUUGUGAAAUCUCCGGGCUUAACCCGGAGCGGCCAAGUGAUACUGUCGUGCUAGAGUGCGGAAGGGGCUACUGGAAUUCUCGGUGUAGCGGUGAAAUGCGUAGAUAUCGAGAGGAACACCGGCGGCGAAGGCGGGGAGCUGGGCCGACACUGACGCUGAGGCGCGAAAGCCAGGGGAGCGAACGGG